GAUGAACGCUGGCGGCGUGCCUAAUACAUGCAAGUCGAGCGAACAGACGAGGAGCUUGCUCCUCUGACGUUAGCGGCGGACGGGUGAGUAACACGUGGAUCACCUACCUAUAAGACUGGGAUAACUUCGGGAAACCGGAGCUAAUACCGGAUAAUAUAUUGAACCGCAUGGUUCAAUAGUGAAAGACGGUUUUGCUGUCACUUCUAGCUGGAUCCGCGCCGCAUUAGCUAGUUGGUAAGGUAACGGCUUACCAAGGCAACGAUGCGUAGCCGACCUGAGAGGGGGAUCGGCCACACUGGAACUGGGACACGGUCCAGACUCCUACGGGAGGCAGCAGUAGGGAAUCUUCCGCAAUGGGCGAAAGCCUGACGGAGCAACGGCGCGUGAGUGAUGAAGGUCUUCGGAUCGUAAAACUCUGUUAUUAGGGAAGAACAAAUGUGUAAGUAACUAUGCACGUCUUGACGGUACCUAAUCAGAAAGCCACGGCUAACUACGUG
rnacentral:rRNA from 1 species